UACGUAGGGUGCAAGCGUUAAUCGGAAUUACUGGGCGUAAAGCGUGCGCAGGCGGUUAUGCAAGACAGAUGUGAAAUCCCCGGGCUUAACCUGGGAACUGCAUUUGUAACUGCAUAGCUAGAGUGCGGCAGAGGGGGAUGGAAUUCCGCGUGUAGCAGUGAAAUGCGUAGAUAUGCGGAGGAACACCGAUGGCGAAGGCAAUCCCCUGGGCCUGCACUGACGCUCAUGCACGAAAGCGUGGGGAGCAAACAGG
rnacentral:rRNA from 1 species